rnacentral:rRNA from 1 species
UACGAAGGGGGCAAGCGUUGUUCGGAAUCAUUGGGCGUAAAGCGCGUGUAGGCUGUCUAUUAUGUCGGGUGUGAAAUCCCUGGGCUCAACCGAGGAAGUGCAUUCGAAACUGAUAGACUAGAAGAUGGUAGAGGAAGGUGGAAUUCCAAGUGUAGAGGUGAAAUUCGUAGAUAUUUGGAGGAAUACCGGUGGCGAAGGCGGCCUUCUGGGCCAUUCUUGACGCUGAGACGCGAAAGCGUGGGUAGCAAACAGG